rnacentral:rRNA from 1 species
CCUACGGGAGGCAGCAGUGGGGGAUAUUGGACAAUGGGGGGAACCCUGAUCCAGCGACGCCGCGUGAGUGAAGAAGUAUCUCGGUAUGUAAAGCUCUAGCAGCAGGGAAGAAGAAAUGACGGUACAUGAGUAAGAAGCCCCGGCUAACUACGUGCCAGCAGCCGCGGUAAGACGUAGGGGGCAAGCGUUAUCCGGACUUACUGGUGGUAAAGGGAGCGUAGAAGGGGAUGUAAGUCUGGAGUGAAAGGCGUGGGCCCAACCCCCGGACUGCUCUGGAAACUAUGUGACUGGAGUGCAGGAGAGGUGAGCGGAAUUCCUAGUGUAGCGGUGAAAUGCGUAGAUAUUAGGAGGAACACCAGUGGCGAAGGCGGCUCACUGGACUGUAACUGACGUUGAGGCUCGAAAGCGUGGGGAGCAAACAGGAUUAGAUACCCGAGUAGUC